GUCGAGCGGACAGAUGGGAGCUUGCUCCCUGAUAGUUAGCGGCGGACGGGUGAGUAACACGUGGGUAACCUGCCUGUAAGACUGGGAUAACUCCGGGAAACCGGGGCUAAUACCGGAUGGUUGUCUGAACCGCAUGGUUCAGACAUAAAAGGUGGCUUCGGCUACCACUUACAGAUGGACCCGCGGCGCAUUAGCUAGUUGGUGAGGUAACGGCUCACCAAGGCGACGAUGCGUAGCCGACCUGAGAGGGUGAUCGGCCACACUGGGACUGAGACACGGCCCAGACUCCUACGGGAGGCAGCAGUAGGGAAUCUUCCGCAAUGGACGAAAGUCUGACGGAGCAACGCCGCGUGAGUGAUGAAGGUUUUCGGAUCGUAAAGCUCUGUUGUUAGGGAAGAACAAGUGCCGUUCAAAUAGGGCGGCACCUUGACGGUACCUAACCAGAAAGCCACGGCUAACUACGUGCCAGCAGCCGCGGUAAUACGUAGGUGGCAAGCGUUGUCCGGAAUUAUUGGGCGUAAAGGGCUCGCAGGCGGUUUCUUAAGUCUGAUGUGAAAGCCCCCGGCUCAACCGGGGAGGGUCAUUGGAAACUGGGGAACUUGAGUGCAGAAGAGGAGAGUGGAAUUCCACGUGUAGCGGUGAAAUGCGUAGAGAUGUGGAGGAACACCAGUGGCGAAGGCGACUCUCUGGUCUGUAACUGACGCUGAGGAGCGAAAGCGUGGGGAGCGAACAGGAUUAGAUACCCUGGUAGUCCACGCCGUAAACGAUGAGUGCUAAGUGUUAGGGGGUUUCCGCCCCUUAGUGCUGCAGCUAACGCAUUAAGCACU
rnacentral:rRNA from 1 species